rnacentral:rRNA from 1 species
AACGCUAGCUACAGGCUUAACACAUGCAAGUCGUGGGGCAGCAUGGGAGAUGCUUGCAUUUCCUGAUGGCGACCGGCGCACGGGUGAGUAACGCGUAUCCAACCUGCCCCUUACUCCGGCACAGCCCGUCGAAAGGCGGAUUAAUGCGGGAUGCAGUCAGAGAGAUGCAUAUAUGUCUGACGAAAGGAUUCGUCCGGUAAGGGAUGGGGAUGCGUCCGAUUAGCUUGACGGCGGGGUAACGGCCCACCGUGGCGACGAUCGGUAGGGGUUCUGAGAGGAAGGUCCCCCACAUUGGAACUGAGACACGGUCCAAACUCCUACGGGAGGCAGCAGUGAGGAAUAUUGGUCAAUGGACGAGAGUCUGAACCAGCCAAGUAGCGUGAAGGAUGAAGGUCCUACGGAUUGUAAACUUCUUUUAUAAGGGAAUAAAACCUUCCACGUGUGGGAGCUUGUAUGUACCUUAUGAAUAAGCAUCGGCUAACUCCGUGCCAGCAGCCGCGGUAAUACGGAGGAUGCGAGCGUUAUCCGGAUUUAUUGGGUUUAAAGGGAGCGCAGACGGGUCGUUAAGUCAGCUGUGAAAGUUUGGGGCUCAACCUUAAAAUUGCAGUUGAUACUGGCGUCCUUGAGUGCGGUUGAGGUGUGCGGAAUUCGUGGUGUAGCGGUGAAAUGCUUAGAUAUCACGAAGAACUCCGAUUG